rfam:Chloroflexi bacterium RBG_13_51_36 RBG_13_scaffold_1130, whole genome shotgun sequence.
UAGACCUUUAAAUCAGUCCAGUGAGGCUGGUAAGGGGAGACAUGCUUAAGCACAUCGCAAUAGAAGCAUCAAGUAAGACCUCUUGCCGGUUUUAUGGCAGGAGGUUUUUUGAU